AAGUCGUAACAAGGUUUCCGUAGGUGAACCUGCGGAAGGAUCAUUCUUGUACUUGGCUCUAUAGCCAAAUCAACAACAACAACAACUGUGUGAACUGUACCUUUGACCGGUUGUCAAAGAAUAGCUUGGCAGAAGGCGUGGAAUGAGAGCUCUCUACAAAGGGCUUUCAGUCUUGGCGCGCUGUCAUCGAUACUUUGACGACUACAUCUUAACGUACUUUUGAUUUAUCGAACUUAAACCAUUCUAUAUACCAAAUACAACUUUUAGCAACGGAUCUCUAGGCUCUC
rnacentral:misc_RNA from 1 species